rnacentral:rRNA from 1 species
UACGUAGGGGGCAAGCGUUGUCCGGAAUUAUUGGGCGUAAAGAGCGCGUAGGCGGUCCGAUAAGUCGGCUGUGAAAGUCAAGGGCUCAACCCUUGGAAGCCGGCCGAUACUGUCGGACUAGAGUCCGGAAGAGGCGAGUGGAAUUCCCGGUGUAGCAGUGAAAUGCGCAGAUAUCGGGAGGAACACCAAUUGCGAAGGCAGCUCGCUGGGACGGUACUGACGCUGAGGCGCGAAAGCGUGGGGAGCAAACAGG